GGGAGCGUAGCUCAGAUGGUAAAGCGCUCGCUUUGCAUGCGAGAGAAACACGGAUAGAUGCCUGUGCCUCCA